AUUGAACGCUGGCGGCAUGCCUUACACAUGCAAGUCGAACGGCAGCAUGAUCUAGCUUGCUCGAUUGAUGGCGAGUGGCGAACGGGUGAGUAAUACAUCGGAACGUGCCCUGUAGUGGGGGAUAACUAGUCGAAAGAUUAGCUAAUACCGCAUACGACCUGAGGGUGAAAGUGGGGGACCGCAAGGCCUCAUGCUAUAGGAGCGGCCGAUGUCUGAUUAGCUAGUUGGUGGGGUAAAGGCCCACCAAGGCGACGAUCAGUAGCUGGUCUGAGAGGACGAUCAGCCACACUGGGACUGAGACACGGCCCAGACUCCUACGGGAGGCAGCAGUGGGGAAUUUUGGACAAUGGGGGCAACCCUGAUCCAGCAAUGCCGCGUGUGUGAAGAAGGCCUUCGGGUUGUAAAGCACUUUUGUCCGGAAAGAAAUCGCACUUACUAAUAUUAGGUGUGGAUGACGGUACCGGAAGAAUAAGGACCGGCUAACUACGUG
rnacentral:rRNA from 1 species